UGGUUCCGUAUGACGAGGAGGCCAGACCGCCGCCGCUGAACUGAUGAUGAUGAUGAUGUGGGUUCAAGAUGGGCUGAUCGGCGGCGGUCGUUCGCUGUUGCUGUUGCUGCAUGGCCGCCAACGAGGAAUGCACCAGGGGAUCAAAAAGUGACGAAAGGUCGUACCUGGCGGGCAUGGAAGCGGUGGGAAUGUCGGCGAUCGUUAGAGCCUGUGGGGCCCCAAGGAGGGCAGCGGAUGGUGGCGGCGG
rnacentral:lncRNA from 1 species